CCUACGGGAGGCAGCAGUGAGGAAUAUUGGUCAAUGGACGAGAGUCUGAACCAGCCAAGCCGCGUGAAGGAUGACUGCCCUAUGGGUUGUAAACUUCUUUUGUCUGGGGAUAAACCCAGGUACGCAUACCCUCUUGUAUGUACCAUAUGAAUAAGGAUCGGCUAACUCCGUGCCAGCAGCCGCGGUAAUACGGAGGAUCCGAGCGUUAUCCGGAUUUAUUGGGUUUAAAGGGUGCGUAGGUGGUUUGUUAAGUCAGUUGUGAAAGCUCGAGGCUCAACAGCAGAAGUGCAGUUGAUACUGUUAGUCUAGAGAAUAGGAGAGGUAGGCGGAAUGUGUGGUGUAGCGGUGAAAUGCUUAGAGAUCAUGCAGAACUCCGAUUGCGAAGGCAGCUUACCGGACUCCAACUGACACUGAGGCACGAAAGCGUGGGGAGCAAACAGGAUUAGAUACCCCAGUAGUC
rnacentral:rRNA from 1 species